AUUGAACGCUGGCGGCAUGCCUUACACAUGCAAGUCGAACGGUAACGGGCCUUCGGGUGCCGACGAGUGGCGAACGGGUGAGUAAUACAUCGGAACGUGCCCGAUCGUGGGGGAUAACGAGGCGAAAGCUUUGCUAAUACCGCAUACGAUCUACGGAUGAAAGCAGGGGACCGCAAGGCCUUGCGCGGACGGAGCGGCCGAUGGCAGAUUAGGUAGUUGGUGGGAUAAAAGCUUACCAAGCCGACGAUCUGUAGCUGGUCUGAGAGGAUGAUCAGCAACAGUGGGACUGAGCCGGGGCCCGGACUCCUACGGGGGGAAACGGGGGGAAUUUUUAGACAGGGGGCGAAGACGUGACCCAACAGCGCGGGGGAAAGGGUAAGGCUGUUCGGUUUUUAAACUUUUUUUGUCGGAAAGAAAAGGCCUUUUUUAAUAACGGACGGAGAAAGCGGUCCCCGAACAAAUAACACCGGGCCAACACGGUC
rnacentral:rRNA from 1 species